CGUAGGUGACCUGCGGA
rnacentral:rRNA from 3 species